rnacentral:lncRNA from 1 species
GUCCCUGCUGGAUACAGAUGUAACUCCCCGUGAGCACCGUUUCUGGGUACUGUUCCUUCCAGCAUCACACCCGGUGUUUGAUCAGAGCACCCGGCAUGCAGACGCGGGUUCCAGCAGCGCGCAGGCAGUGUCCCCACGCCAAGGUGGCAGCCGGUGCCCGGAGGUCUGUCCUCACUGCCCUCGCCAGCGGCGUGCAGGAGCAGAACCUGCCCGCCAGGACACCGGUUUUAAGGAACCAGUUACAGAGCUGCUCGGAGCCCUUUGCCCACGGCGAGCUGAAACGCUGCACCUCCUGCCAUUCGUUCACCUCUCCAUGCGCCCUGCUGCGAGAUUCCUGUUCCUGUCCUGGUUGAGGGUUUGGUUGAGGGUUUGGUGUUCCUUCUGCUGCUGUGCUCUGCGUGAGCGGCUCCUGCGUCAGUAUUCGGUUAGGACUACAAAAGGGCAUCAAUAAACCUUGGGUGGGUUUGAACGUAGACUGCAUCAUGCGUGGAAAUCUUGUAUUACUUGCGGGUUUUUCAUAUCAAGCUUAAGAUUAAAUUGUUAAUGUCCAUCAGUGACACGGUUUUGUGAGAAAUGUGUAACUAAAGUAAGGAUAAUCAUGAAAAAGAAGAGGUGAUCCGAAUUAAAAGAGCUAGAGGAACUGGUAGCGUGCAAUACAUUGUAGCUGGCAACACGCACACAGCCUGUUAAAUUUCAUACUUGGCGCUGUUUGUACCCAUCGCUUCGUAAUUAAGGUCCAAAUAGCAGCAGUCCACUCGCGGUGAUGCCAUGCGGGUGCCGUGUGUUGGCAGUGCUCUGUUCUGUGCCCCCUUCGGGUGCUGGUGGGGCACAGGCGCGCUCUCAGCAGAGCCCGGGCUCUGGUCGCUUGCUGUGCCAACUCAGUGGAGCAAGGUUUGUUCUCAACAUUUUCCUUCUUCUGUUUACUCUUUUUUCCUUUGUAACUUUAUUUUCCAAUGGAACUGUUUUCAUUUUAAGUUUUGUACUCUGACCUUUUGCCACCUGUUAGAAUUAGGUUGUCAGCAUCUUGCUUUGCCAGUUAACGUCCCAGUCGCUGGGGAGAAGGAAGAAAGGGACCAGGAGAGCUGUGGCAAGUGUUGUAUGAACCAUAUGGCCGUUUUACCUUCUAGCCAAGGAUUUGCUUUCUGUGGCUCAUGGAAGUUCACUAUGUCUUAUCCAUGUUCUGAGCAAUUCAUUUCUUUUUGUCUGUUUGUUUUCAAAGAAAGAAGGUCUUAGAUGUUUUUGUCCACUGCAGAUUUAUUUUAAAUGAAAUAUGUAAGUGCCAUGUUUUAUGGUAUUUUUAAAUAAUCUAUUGCCUAUUUCUGGGGAGGGGGAGAUGACAACUAUUUAGUCUUAGAUUUGCACUGCUGGAUUUUUUAAGUGUAACCUUGACUGGUUAUCCUAUUUGUUUUAUUCUGUAAUAUUAGUCUUAUGAAUUAAAGUUUGAUAAUUAAUUCUUUCUGUGUUUGAGUGUUUCCGUGUUCUGUACGUGCUAACCUACUUCUCACAGUGUGAACAA